GUGGGGAAUCUUGCGCAAUGGGCGAAAGCCUGACGCAGCCAUGCCGCGUGAAUGAUGAAGGUCUUAGGAUUGUAAAAUUCUUUCACCGGGGACGAUAAUGACGGUACCCGGAGAAGAAGCUCCGGCUAACUUCGUGCCAGCAGCCGCGGUAAUACGAAGGGGGCUAGCGUUGCUCGGAGUUACUGGGCGUAAAGGGCGCGUAGGCGGACAGCUUAGUCAGAGGUGAAAGCCCAGGGCUCAACCUUGGAAUUGCCUUUGAUACUGGCUGUCUUGAGUUUGGGAGAGGUGAGUGGAACUCCGAGUGUAGAGGUGAAAUUCGUAGAUAUUCGGAAGAACACCAGUGGCGAAGGCGACUCACUGGCCCAAUACUGACGCUGAGGCGCGAAAGCGUGGGGAGCAAACAGGAUUAGAAACCCUCGUAGUCC
rnacentral:rRNA from 1 species